rnacentral:lncRNA from 10 species
AUGACUUCUGCUGGUGAAGGGUAGUUGGAAUAAAGAGCCAUCAUUUCAAAUCACUACUGUGUAUAGAAAGAUGCAGUUCAACAUACAUUGUUGAUACAAUAUAAUAAAUGAAAAAGGAAAUCAAUCACGCCUAAAAUAAGAGCAAAUAAUCAUCUUAAAAUGGACUUUUCAUUUCGUCAUUACCAACAGAGUAAAGAGAGCUUUCUUACAGACUUGCCUGAAGAAACUUUGACGAAAAAUGGAAGUCCAACUUUCUAAAAGAGUCAUAAAGUGUAAUGUUGAAAGCAGAGAAAUGAACUUGUUUGCUGAAGUGAUAAUUCCCUUUUUCAAAGUUCUAUAAAAUUAUUUCUUGUUCAAAUACAGUAAAUAAUCAUUUUUAUUCCUCCAUAUUAUCUCACUUUCUACAUAAUGCAAAGCCCUGGACCUUUUGUUAAAAAAAAAAAAAAGUUAUUUUAGAGUUUAUAAAGACCUUGCUCCAAGUAGAGACUUACUUAGUCCUCACUAUUGUAUGAAGUUCAUAAGCCAGAAAAUUGUGUGAACCCAUUUUAUAAAAGAAGAGACAUAUGAUCUUAUCAUUUAAUAGGACUCUAAUUUCUAAUUAAUCAAAUAUUACCAAUUAAAUAAUAGGUCUGAAUUCAUGAUAGACAUGAAAUGGUUUUAUUUUCUGUAAAGACCGCCCUGCUUCCCCCCCACCAGGCAGCAAAAAUAGCUUUCAUAUCAGGUCUAGUAUUAAGAACUAAUUUGGGCCAGGCAGGAUGGCUCAAGCCUGUAAUCCCAGCACUUUGAGAGGCCAAGGCAGGCAGAUCACCUGAGGUCAGGUGUUUGAGACCAGCCUGGCCAACAUAGGGAAACUCCAUCUUUACUAAAAGUACAAAAAUUAGCCAGGCGUGGUGGAGGGCGCCAGUAAUCCCAGC